rnacentral:rRNA from 1 species
UUCGAUUCCGGCUCAGAUGAACGCUGGCGGCGUGCUUAACACAUGCAAGUCGCGCGUGAAAGGACUUCGGUCCGAGUAAAGCGGCGCACGGGUGAGUAACGCGUGGAUGAUCUACCCAUGAGUUAGGAAUAACGGCUGGAAACGGUCGCUAAUACCAAAUACGCUCCGAUUUCAACUUCGGGGGAAAGGUGGCCUCUGCUUGCAAGCUACUGCUCAUGGAUGAGUCCGCGUCCCAUUAGCUAGUUGGUGGGGUAACGGCCCACCAAGGCGACGAUGGGUAGCCGGUCUGAGAGGAUGACCGGCCACACUGGGACUGGAACACGGCCCAGACUCCUACGGGAGGCAGCAGUGGGGAAUAUUGCGCAAUGGGCGAAAGCCUGACGCAGCGACGCCGCGUGAGGGAUGAAGGUCCUCGGAUCGUAAACCUCUGUCAGGAGGGAAGAACCGCCACGGUGCUAAUCAGCCGUGGUCUGACGGUACCUCCAAAGGAAGCACCGGCUAACUCCGUGCCAGCCGCAGC